CGGUAACUCGUGACAGCUUGCUCUCUGGGUGACGAGCGGCGGACGGGUGAGUAAUGUCUGGGAAACUGCCCGAUGGAGGGGGAUAACUACUGGAAACGGUAGCUAAUACCGCAUAACGUCUUCGGACCAAAGAGGGGGACCUUCGGGCCUCUUGCCAUCGGAUGUGCCCAGAUGGGAUUAGCUAGUAGGUGGGGUAAUGGCUCACCUAGGCGACGAUCCCUAGCUGGUCUGAGAGGAUGACCAGCCACACUGGAACUGAGACACGGUCCAGACUCCUACGGGAGGCAGCAGUGGGGAAUAUUGCACAAUGGGCGCAAGCCUGAUGCAGCCAUGCCGCGUGUAUGAAGAAGGCCUUCGGGUUGUAAAGUACUUUCAGCGAGGAGGAAGGCGUUGUGGUUAAUAACCGCAGCGAUUGACGUUACUCGCAGAAGAAGCACCGGCUAACUCCGUGCCAGCAGCCGCGGUAAUACGGAGGGUGCAAGCGUUAAUCGGAAUUACUGGGCGUAAAGCGCACGCAGGCGGUCUGUCAAGUCGGAUGUGAAAUCCCCGGGCUCAACCUGGGAACUGCAUUCGAAACUGGCAGGCUAGAGUCUUGUAGAGGGGGGUAGAAUUCCAGGUGUAGCGGUGAAAUGCGUAGAGAUCUGGAGGAAUACCGGUGGCGAAGGCGGCCCCCUGGACAAAGACUGACGCUCAGGUGCGAAAGCGUGGGGAGCAAACAGGAUUAGAUACCCUGGUAGUCCACGCCGUAAACGAUGUCGACUUGGAGGUUGUGCCCUUGAGGCGUGGCUUCCGGAGCUAACGCGUUAAGUCGACCGCCUGGGGAGUACGGCCGCAAGGUUAAAACUCAAAUGAAUUGACGGGGGCCCGCACAAGCGGUGGAGCAUGUGGUUUAAUUCGAUGCAACGCGAAGAACCUUACCUACUCUUGACAUCCAGAGAACUUAGCAGAGAUGCUUUGGUGCCNUUCGGGAACUCUGAGACAGGUGCUGCAUGGCUGUCGUCAGCUCGUGUUGUGAAAUGUUGGGUUAAGUCCCGCAACGAGCGCAACCCUUAUCCUUUGUUGCCAGCGGUUCGGCCGGGAACUCAAAGGAGACUGCCAGUGAUAAACUGGAGGAAGGUGGGGAUGACGUCAAGUCAUCAUNGGCCCUUACGAGUAGGGCUACACACGUGCUACAAUGGCGCAUACAAAGAGAAGCGACCUCGCGAGAGCAAGCGGACCUCAUAAAGUGCGUCGUAGUCCGGAUUGGAGUCUGCAACUCGACUCCAUGAAGUCGGAAUCGCUAGUAAUCGUAGAUCAGAAUGCUACGGUGAAUACGUUCCCGGGCCUUGUACACACCGCCCGUCACUCCAUGGGAGUGGGUUGCUAAAGAAGUAGGUAGCUCAA
rnacentral:rRNA from 1 species